rnacentral:tRNA from 1 species
AAAGAUUAAUAUAAUAGACUUCUAAUCUAAAUUUAAUGAUUUAAUUCAUUUAAUCUUUU